rnacentral:rRNA from 1 species
CCUACGGGAGGCAGCAGUGAGGAAUAUUGGUCAAUGGACGAGAGUCUGAACCAGCCAAGCCGCGUGAAGGACGAAGGUGCCAAGCAUUGUAAACUUCUUUUGUCAAGGGACAAAAUCAGGUUCGAGAGCCUGACCGAGGGUACUUGAAGAAAAAGCAUCGGCUAACUCCGUGCCAGCAGCCGCGGUAAUACGGAGGAUGCGAGCGUUAUCCGGAUUUAUUGGGGUUAAAGGGUGCGUAGGCGGACUGUUAAGUCAGCGGUAAAAGCCCGGGGCUCAACCCCGGCGAGCCGUUGAAACUGGCGGUCUUGAGAUGGCGAGAGGUAUGCGGAAUGCGCAGUGUAGCGGUGAAAUGCUUAGAUAUUGCGCAGAACUCCGAUUGCGAAGGCAGCAUACCGACGGCGAUCUGACGCUGAGGCACGAAAGCGUGGGUAUCGAACAGGAUUAGAUACCCUAGUAGUC